AGGCUUCAUGGCGGCGCGGCCACUGUCCCGGAUGCUGUGGCGGCUCCUGAGGUCCAGCGCCCGGAGCUGCAGCUCAGGGGCUCCGGUGACACAGCCCUGCCCCGGGGAGUCCGCGCGAGCUGCCUCGGAGGUCAGUACUGCAUGCCCGAGGAGGGGGUCCCGCUGACCCCCAAAGCCAACCUGCUGACCACAGAGGAGAUCCUGACCCUCGCCCGGCUCUUUGUGAAGGAAGGCGUCGACAAGAUCCGGCUCACAGGCGGAGAGCCGCUCAUCCGGCCGGACGUGGUAGACAUUGUGGCCCAGCUCCAGCGGCUGGAAGGGCUGAGGACCAUAGGUGUUACCACCAACGGCGUCAACCUGGCCCGGCUGCUGCCCCAGCUUCAGAAGGCUGGUCUCAGUGCCAUCAACAUCAGCCUGGACACCCUGGUGCCUGCCAAGUUUGAGUUCAUCGUCCGCAGGAAAGGCUUCCACAAGGUCAUGGAGGGCAUCCACAAGGCCAUCGAGCUGGGCUACAACCCUGUGAAGGUGAGGCCGUACCCCUGCCGUAGAUUCCCGACUUCCCUCCACACUGCCCU
rnacentral:sRNA from 1 species